GGAUUAGAUACCCUGGUAGUCCACGCCGUAAACGAUGUCUACUAGCCGUUGGGAUCUUUAAGAUUUUAGUGGCGCAGCUAACGCGUUAAGUAGACCGCCUGGGGAGUACGGUCGCAAGAUUAAAACUCAAAUGAAUUGACGGGGGCCCGCACAAGCGGUGGAGCAUGUGGUUUAAUUCGAAGCAACGCGAAGAACCUUACCUACUCUUGACAUCCAGAGAAUCCUGUAGAGAUACGGGAGUGCCUUCGGGAAUUCUGAGACAGGUGCUGCAUGGCUGUCGUCAGCUCGUGCCG
rnacentral:rRNA from 1 species